GUGGAUAUCUUGUUCCAGACGAUGACUACAAGGUUAUAGUACUGUUUACUAUGAUUGUUAGGUAGUUUUGAUCAGAAGAGGAGUGGAAGAUUCAAACUGGAUGGCUUCAUAUCACUCUGUAUAUUUGUACAGUCUGCGCAAAUGCUGAAC